rnacentral:piRNA from 2 species
AAUCCUUGCUAUCUGGGUGCUUAG